rfam:Acinetobacter radioresistens SK82 contig00064, whole genome shotgun sequence.
CUUUGCGGCGGAACGGGAGGGGGACACCUUCGGGUGUGCUGAUCUUUUUGGGUAUCAGUCUGCUAACCCCUUUUCGUUUCGCCACCAUU